rnacentral:rRNA from 1 species
UGAAGUAAGUAAGGGCGUACGGUGAAUGCCUUGGUGCCAACAGGCGAAGAAGGACGCGGCAAGCUGCGAAAAACCUCGGGAAGCUGCAAGCAAGCGAUGAUCCGGGGGUAUCCGAAUGGGGUAACCUGAUCGAGGCAAUACUCGAUCGUUCAUACCUGAAUACAUAGGGUAUGAAACGCGAAACCCGCUGAAGUGAAACAUCUCAGUAAGCGGAGGAAAAGAAAGAGAAAUCGAUUCCGUAAGUAGUGGCGAGCGAAAGCGGAUGGAGCCCAAACCGAAGGUACUCCUUCGGGGUUGUAGGACCACGACAUAUUCGACCAUACUGGAUAGUAGAACAGCCUGGAAAGGCUGGCCAUAGAAGGUGAAAGCCCUGUAGACGAAAUCCAGAGUGGGAAUUAGUGGAAUCCUGAGUAAUACAUCACACGUGGAACGAUGUAUGAAUCCGCGCGGACCACCGCGCAAGGCUAAAUACUAGUUGGCGACCGAUAGUGAACAAGUACCGCGAGGGAAAGGUGAAAAGAACCGCUGUGAGCGGAGUGAAAUAGAACCUGAAACCGUAUGUCUACAAAGUGUCAGAGCAGAGCGAUCUGCGAUGGCGUGCCUUUUGUUUAAUGAGUCUGCGAGUCAGUGUUUGUGGCAAGACUAAGGGCUUCCGGCCCGGAGUCGCAGCGAAAGCAAGUCCGAAUAGGGCGAAUCAAGUCGCAGGUACUGGACCCGAAGCGGAGGUGACCUACCCUUGGCCAGGUUGAAGCAUGGGUAAAACCAUGUGGAGGACCGAACAGGUGAACGUUGAAAAGUUCUCUGAUGAGCUGAGGGUAGGAGUGAAAGGCUAAUCAAACCCCGUGAUAGCUGGUUCUCUUCGAAAUGCAUUUAGGUGCAGCGUCACGUGCUGAUGCGCGGGGGUAGAGCACUGACAAGGCUAGGGGGCACACCCGCUUACCAAACCUUAUCAAACUCCGAAUACCGUGCAAUGGAACGUGGCAGUGAGACAGUGGGGGAUAAGCUUCAUUGUCGAGAGGGAAACAACCCAGACCAGCAGCUAAGGUGCCUAAAUAACGCUCAGUGGAAAGGAUGUGGGAUUACACAGACAGUGAGGAUGUUGGCUUAGAAGCAGCCACCAUUUAAAAAAUGCGUAAUAGCUUACUCAUCGAGUGAUCCUGCGCCGAAAAUGAUUGGCGAUCAAGCGUUAUACCGAAGCUCUGGACUUUGCCGCAAGGCAGAGUGGUAGAAGAGCGUUGCAUGCGCAUUGAAGGGUGAUGGCGACUGACCCUGGAGCGCAUGCAAGUGAGUAUGCAGACAUGAGUAACGUAAAGCCGGGUGAAAUCCCCGGCCGCCGUAAACCCGAGGUUUCCAGGGCAACGUGUUUCGUCCCUGGGUUAGCCGGGACCUAAGCCGAGGCCGAGAGGCGUAGGCGAUGGACAUCAGGUUAAUAAUCCUGAGCUCGCGACCCUUAAACUGGGGGGACGCAUGAGAAAAGAUGACUAGGUUAUUGAAUUCCGAGUUGAGUCCACGGACUCAGCGCAUCAUUGGAUCGAGUGCCAAGAAAAGCCCCAGCGUAUGCUAAGCGACCCGUACCGCAAACCGACACAGGUGGGUGGGUAGAAUAUACCAAGGCGUAAGAGUGAAACCUGGUUAAGGAACUCGGCAAAUUAGCCCCGUAACUUCGGAAGAAGGGGUGCCUGCAGCGAUGCAGGCCGCAGAGAAAUGGCCCAACCGACUGUUUAUCAAAAACACAGCACUCUGCAAAGACGCAAGUCGAAGUAUAGGGUGUGACACGUGACCAAUGCCGAAAGAUUAAGGCAAGGGGUUAGCCGCAAGGCGAAGCUCUAAACCCAAGUCCCGGUGAAUGUCGGCCGUAACUAUAACGGUCCUAAGGUAGCGAAAUUCCUUGUCGGGUAAGUUCCG